rnacentral:lncRNA from 1 species
GUCCCAGGCUCCACACGGCUGCAAGAUGCAGCUCCCUCGAGGCCACCACUCUUAGGCUAGGCGGGACCCAGGCUGAGGGGCUUCACACACUACCCACGUCCCACCGGGCCCUUCCGUGAGGCUGCCCCGCGGGCCGCCCUGGCAUCAGCCGCCCCAGGGCUCUGGAUAUGCCACUUGGCCCCGUGGCACCCUGUGCAGCCAGGAGCCAGGGCGGCUGACAGCAGAGCCCCGGGGACUGGGCCUUCCCCGCCCCAGCAUCCAGGCGAGGCUCUCCCGGAGUUGGGAGAGCGUGCCCACAGCAUCACCUGCCUCCAGGAGCACCGAGGAGAAGUCCAGGGGCCAGAGCCGCAAGAAGCCGUCCUCAGAGCCCACAGCACACAUGGCCGGGGAGACGCUGAGGCUGCUGAUGGCAAUGCCGGGGCCUGGGGGCAGGGAGGCGUCAGUGCCUCGGUGUCCCUGCCACCCUGGCCACGUGGUGGGCGCCCUCUUACCUGAGCUGAAGGUCUGCUUCUGUGGGUGGGGACCGCCUGGAGUCCGUGUGGGGAGCAGGCGGCGGGCAUGCCGCACGACCAUGCGCUGACAGUCAAUCUCCAAGAUGUGGCCACUGCGGCUGCACACGAAGCUGCCCGAGGAGGCGGCAGGGAAGUCCACGGGGCAGGAACGCAGCACCCCGCCACGCAGCCGCCAGAGCCGCACACUGCCCUGCCCGCACGACGCCAUCCUGCAAGGAAUGAGGACUGAGCACUGCCGCAGCUCGCAGCGCCCUGACCCACCGGGAGACGCAGAGACGCACAGCCAAGCCAGGGGGAGGUGCUCGGGCCUCGGCCCCCACUCCGGGCCCAGACCCUCUCCCAACAUCGUGGAUGGGCGGCUGCAUCACCUGGUUUCAUCAAAAAAGGUGACCCGGAAGGCCUGGACGUCAAAGUCAGUGUGCGCCUUUGCCAGAACGACCACCUCGCCACCGAGGCCCACCUGGCCGGUGCCCCAGGCCACC